rnacentral:rRNA from 1 species
CCACACUCCUACGGGAGGCAGCAGUGGGGAAUAUUGCACAAUGGGCGCAAGCCUGAUGCAGCCAUGCCCCCUGUAUGAAGAAGGCCUUCCGGCUGUACAGCACUUUCAGCGGGGAGGAAGGGGUUAAGGUUAAUAAACUUCGCCAUUGACGUUACUCCAAGAACAAGCACCGCAUAACUACGUGCCAGCAGCCGCGGCAACACGGACGGCCCAAGCGUUAAUCGGAAUUACUGGGCGUAAAGCGCCCGCAGGCGGUCUGUCAAGUCGGAUGUGAAAUCCGCGGGCGCAACCUGGGAACUGCAUUCGAAACUGGCAGGCUGGAGUCUUGUAGAGGGGGGUAGAAUUCCAGGUGUAGCGGUGAAAUGCGUAGAGAUCUGGAGGAAUACCGGUGGCGAAGGCGGCCCCCUGGACAAAGACUGGCGCUCAGGUGCGAAAGCGUGGGGAGCAAACAGGAUUAGAUACCCCGGUAGG